AAAUCUGUGAGAGAAAGCGGGAUGAGUAUUGGCAGCAACGCAAAGUAUGUUCAGUCCUGCAUGCAAUAAUGAGCCAAACAAAUAUAUGUAACUCCCAAGGGUGAAAACAAAGACCAACAGAUAUAACACAUGCUAACUGUUAAACACAAUGGUCCAGUCUUUGGCAGUCAGUGAUAUUUAAACACUAUCACUGGCACAAACACAAUGAGUCCUUUCAUAGAUUAACAUGCAGGCACCAAUUCAACCAAAAGGGAACAAUGUAAUAAGGUAUGAGCUGUGCCUGAAUUCCAUACUACAUACAGAUUUAAUAGUGUACAGUUGUGCUUACUGUACACUUUUGCAGUGUGAAUGAACUACACACUCUAAACUUUCUUAGAAUCAGUAUGUAGCAUGGAUUUGGGACCAAGCUAUUGUAUAAUAAAUAUUAUUAUUAAUUAUAUUCAUGGGUGAGGCCUAGCUCCAUUUGCUUGAGAGCCAGUUCUGAAUGUGUCCUAUUGAAAACUUGUGGAAAGUGGCUGUACUCUGCAGUUUGUCACAGGUGGGCAGUUAACCCAACAUAUAUCUGCCAAACCAACCAGUUAGUCCUCAUCCUCCAAGAGUUUUCUCUUAUAAAACCUUAUGAAGCAUAAAUCUCACCUUCAUGUGGUUUGUUCAAGCAAGUUUUCAAGUACAUCUAUAACUACUUCGCCUCUUUCUAUUCUCCCAAGCUGGAAUAGCCUUACUGCCCCUUGUGGCUGUGGGGGGCAAAAACACACAUUGCAAGUACUGUUGAACUGCAGUUGUGGUGGGUGGUUUUUUUCUUCCAUUAGCCACAAAGGGGAGUAAUGAGAUAAUUCAGCAACACUCAACUAACAAACUUUGACAAACCAUACAAAAAUGAUAUCUAUAACUUCUCCUUAGUGUUUUCUAGCAGCAUGUUUGGGUUUUACCAGUGAAAAGACUACAAGGAUAAGGACUAACUGGUCGGUGUACAUCAGGUUAACUUCCCCACCUCCAGCUCAGAGCAGCACACGUCGCUCUCUAAACAUUUCUAUGGAAGCAUCCAGAACCGUCUCCCACGCUGUGAAUUAAACAAACCCAAAUGGGGCUAGGGUGGCGGGGUUACACGAUGGUCAGGGAUAAACCACGGGAGGUUACAUUGUACAUCUUUACCAACUCACCUGAGUCGGCCUGCCAUGAAACAGACAGACAUGUAGGAAGAGAUGCAUUCAGAGGCCAGUUGAGAGCACAAUACACAGUAAACAAAAUCAUAAUAGGCCUUCACCUUUCUAAACUGUCUACCUUCCUGUUUAUGCCAUGCAAAAGGGAAAUUAUGAUGUAAUCAACAUCCGACUAGCAGUAGUCAGAAUUUCCAGAAAUAUGACUGAAGUAUAAGUGAGGAGGAUGGUGGGACUUGUUACUGAGCCACUUGCUACUUUCAGGUUCGCUCACUGCAGACACACUCAACUCAGGAUGACCACCACACGAAAACCAGUAAAAGACACAGAUAUCAGGAUAUGAUGUUCUUCCUGCAAAUAACUGAUGUGCUGGAAGACAACAAGGACCCCUAUCUGCAGUUUUAAAAAAAACAUCUCCACAAAAAUGAUAAAGUUCUUAAUCUUUAAUAAGUAGAAAGUCAUCAUUAGAGGACACGUGUUCAACCCAUGACACUGGACCUUUUUGCAUACUACAUGCAUCCAACAAAAGAAUCCAGAGAGGACUAAACAAAGAAUAAAAGUGAAUGUCUACGGUAGAAAGAUUAUCCGACGUCAGUAAAAUGUACCAAUAAUCACAUUUUACUUGCUCUUUACGAUUAAAUCUUCAUUCAUAAUGCUUAA